rnacentral:pre_miRNA from 1 species
AGUGGAAUUGCUGGGUUAUAUGGUAAUUCUAUGUUUAGUUUUUUUUAGGAACUACCAAACUAUUUUCCACAACAGCUGUGCUAUUUUAUAUUUCUGUCAGCAGU